rnacentral:tRNA from 1 species
GGGGUUGUGGCUCAGAGGUAGAGUGCUUGCCUGGCAAGCAUGAGGCUCUGGGUUCGAUCCUCAGCACCA